CAUCUGUGAUGGUGGGUAAUCUCCCUUAGCUUCUACUUCAUAUAGUUUACGAACGAUAUCGUUAAUCAGAGGCCUUUGUUGUUGGUCAUUGUGCAUGCAGUCUACUGCGAUUUCGAUACAAGCCCUCACUUGUUUGCAAUCUGCUUCAAAUGAGGGAUAUCUCCUUAUCUCUUGUAGCCGUUUCCUCCAGCAUUUGUGUACCUUCAAAGAGAGUGCACAAGCAUGUAUACAUCAGCAAGUGUCAAGUUUUAAAAUGAAAUCUUUUGCGGAGCGCAGGGUGAAGAACAUAGUCAUCAAGAGAAACCUUUAGUAGCAAUUUCAGACUUUUUCCUUUACAGACACUAUAUUUAGCAUACACUUUCUAACAGCAUAUACUUGAUAAUCUGAAAACUGAAAUAAACAAAGAGCUUAUUC
rnacentral:lncRNA from 1 species